rnacentral:tRNA from 1 species
AGACAACAAAAUGUUUAAUAUUAUUAUUUUGACACCUUAGGUCGAUCGGUAUCUCACGUUUUUAAUUUAUUAAGAAUUUCAUUUCCUAAGUUUUUCUAGGUCACACCCAUUAUUUUUCCUGGGCCAUUAGCUCAGGUGGUUAGAGCGCACCCCUGAUAAGGGUGAGGUCCCUGGUUCAAGUCCAGGAUGGCCCAUAUCUCUAUGUUGGGGGUAUAGCUCAGUUGGUAGAGCGCCUGCUUUGCAAGCAGGAUGUCAGCGGUUCGAGUCCGCUUACCUCCACUGAUUACCACCUCUUCCAUAAUCGGUAGAAAGGAAAUGUUUUGAGUAGUGAUCAAAUUCUGAAAGAAUCUAGCUUCCUAAUGGAAUCAUUAAGAUGCUGGACUCAUUGAAUUAAUUUCAUUGUUUUCAGAGAACCUUGACAACUGCAUAGAUUAUUUUUAAAGACAAUAAGCAUCUUUAAUGAUGCAGAUUUAUUAUUUGUGCGAAUGCAUUAAUAACAAUUCUAUUAAGCUGAUGCUUCAAUUUUUUGAAGUUAUU